AUCACCCCUCAUUCUCUCCCCCAUCACCUUUUUCUGUUCUCUCUUUCUCCUCCUUCCACUACCUCAAACGAGAGAAAUUUUUCUCAUCAAUCUUAGUUUGUCUCCGACGAACAAUUUUUCUCAUCUUCACCUCUACCUCCACCUACACCUCCUUAGUUUUCUCAAUCAACAUUUUUUCAAUUUUUUCUCUGUAAAAAAAAAUAAUUAAAACUAGGGUUUUCAUUAAUCUCUUCAUCAACACUUGAUUUCUAUUUUUUUUUCUCCGAAUCUGGUGUAAAUUAUAUGAAAUAUCGAGCAUUGGGUAUAAAUCUAGGUCUAAUUUUAUUCUUAUAGUGUUGAAAAUCUAGGAUUUCUUUGGUUUCGACUCUAGGGUUUAUCCCUUAUUUUUCUUGUGAUUUUUUUUUGGUACUGGAGAGAUUGAAUUAAUGGAGGAAAUAGGUGGAUCCUCUCUGCCUUCAUCAAGAUCAGCAGGUCAACAAAGUGGAGCUUCCACAGAACAUGAAGAUUGUCGCUAUGCAGACCGACAGUCCCAAUGUGAUAAACUAAGCAUUUCUAUGGUAGAUGCUGCGUAACUACUGGAAAGGGUUUGGUUUGGAGAAUGUUAACAUAAAAACACGAAGGGGUUUUGUUCCGGUUGAUGAGCGAAUGCGAGUAAUUGAUAAGGAUGGCAAGGUUGGAACUAUGUUUACUAAAAUAUACAUAAAAGGUGUUAGUUAAUAAAGCUGUAAAUGCAUCUUUUCGUUCUCGUUUUAAAGUUUCUUAACAUGUAUAAUUUAGCAGUAGUCAAAGAUGUCAGUGCUUCAUUUUAGGUAACUAAUGGAACUCUUUUUUCUUUUCUUGUGUGUUGUGGGCUUGCAUUUCAAACUUGCACUAACAAAAAGCAGGUUUUUAAGCAACUUGAUUUUUCUGUUAUGCAGCGCCAAGAAACAUGCCACCUAUUAUGCUCCUAUCAAAUCAAAUGAAAGUCUGAUUUUCCAUGUUGGUUUUCACCAGUUUGUUGCUAGGUGAUAUCCGUUCAACUAAAUAGAAAAUGUAGUUCGUUUAAAGAUUUCGAUACCUAAGUUAUAAUAAAACUUAUACCCGCACAUGGUUUGAUUGUUUAACUAUAAGUGUUGUUGAUGUUAUGUUUUAAAUCCAUUUUGUUUGAAUUUCUUGCAGCUGGAUUUAAAGUUUGUACAUAAACUCUUAAGGUAUGGUGUUAUGGACCUCCAUACGAGUGGAAACUGGAAAGUCUUCUGGGUAAGAAUCUCAUUUGGUGAAAUUUAUGGUUUCUCUGUGAAGGCUUCUAUUAAUUCUACGUGUUAAUUGCUUGGUACACCGCUGAAUGCGAAGACAAAGUACAGAUUGUGGGAGACGAUCUCUUGGUCACUAGCCCAAAGGCAUGGAACAUCCCAGAAUCUAGAAGAUUACUGACAGCCAAACAAGAGAGAAACAGAAAAAGCUAAUGUAAAACAGUUUCCCAAUUAUGAAUAACUUGGCUACUAUCAACACCCUUGAAUGUAUCCGUAUCGUAACUCCAAAGAACUAGAGAUUUCCUAACCAAAACUAUGACUUCUUCCACAUCUUUUGGCCUACCACCAAAGACUAUAAUUUCGUUCAUUCCACACGUUCCAAAAAAUUGCGAAGUGCAGAAUAUUCCAAACUUGCUUGCACUUGCCAAAAAAGAUGUUAUUAUCCCAAGCUUCAAGUAAUUGCAGUAUCAGAGCACUGGUAUCAGAUUCUAGGGUUGUGGGUAUGAGAAGUUAAGUUGAAGAAGAUGACGAGUUUAAGUUCAAUUAAAGUACCAGUGUUUGAAGGUAAAAACUUUGAACAUUGGAGGUUGCAGAUGGAGAAUAUUUUUACAUAUCAAGAAGUAUGGGAUAUUGUGAGAGAUGGUUAUGUAGAACCACCAGAAGGAGCUGUAGUUGAAGGAGCUGCGCAAACUCUAUUAACUGAAAACAAAAAGAAAAAUUCUAAAGCUACAUAUAUUCUUCAUCAAGGAGUUCAUGAAUCUCUCAUGGACAGAGUUAUUUAUAUUAAGAAAGCAAAAGCAGCAUGGGAUGGUUUGGUUAGCUACUACACAGGGUCUGACAAGGUCAAAAAGGUUAGAUUGCAAACCCUAAAGACAAAGUAUGAACUAUUGCAGAUGGAAAGUACUGAAACAAUAUCAGAUUUUUUCUCAAAGACUUUGAAUCUUGUCAAUGAGAUGAAAGUUAAUGGUGAUACUGUAGAAGAUUCAAAAGUUGUUGAAAAGAUAUUAAAGUUUGCCAGAGAAAUUUGAAUCAAAGGUGACUGCUAUAGAGGAAUGCAACACAGUUGCAACUAUGACUUUUAAUGAGUUAUUGGGCUCAUUAAAAUCCUAUGAACAAAGAUUGCUAGAGAAGACAGUUGCUGCAAAACAAGUUGAAGAAGCACUUCAAAGUCAAGUUAGCUGGAGAAACAACCAAGGAAAACCUAAUGCUGGAAGGUUUCAAUGAAGAUAUAACAAUGGGGAAAGAUCUAAUACUAGAGGUUAUAAAGGAAGAAAACCUGUUGAUAGAUCAAAAGUUCAGUGUUUUAACUGUGGAGAUUUUGGGCAUUUUGCUACAGAGUGUCCAACACCUAGAAAGACUUCUGAAAAUAGUUAUAAAUCAAAUUUCAAACCUAAUAUUGCUUAAAGUCAAGAAGAAAAAGAAGCAGAAGAGCAAAAGGCUGAAAACAUGUUACUAGCAUGUCAUAUGUGUGGAAGAACAACCUCAACUGAAGUGGUAUUUGGAUACAGAUUGUAGCAAUCAUAUGUGUGGCAGAAAAGAUUUAUUUGACAGACUAGAUGAGUUUGUAAGAUUCACAGUGAAGUUUGGUAACAGUUCAACAAUUCUAGUUAUGGGAAAAGGAAGAAUUGGAAUUGUUCUUAAGAAUGAUUCAAAAGAAUAUAUCAUGGAUGUAUUUUAAGUAGCAGGAUUACAUCAAAACUUGCUGAGUAUAGGACAACUAUCUAAAAGAGGAUACUCUAACUACAACAUAACACAGAUUUUUCAAUGAAAAAUAGCGUCACUAAUAUUUGAUUUUGCGUCACAAA